rnacentral:lncRNA from 1 species
GAGGACUAUCACUAUCUCCUUCUUCCCGAACAUCAAGUAUACAUAAAAAGUGAUGAAAGUAAUGAGGAACCAUUAAAAAAAUAUAUAUCCUGUCACUGUUUUUCCAAUGGACGUCUCAGGUUGUCCUGGAUUAUUUCAGGAGAGAUUAAGACAUCUAAAAGUGGAAACUUGAUUUCCUGGCUUCUAAAGCUGUGAGAAGCAAUGAUUUUCUGGAGAAGAAAAAGAAAGUGCCAAGAAAAGGAGCUUUGGGCGCUUAAAUGCUACAACAACGCACUUUGGAAGCGUGAGGGAGCAGCCAGAGCCAUGCAAGUGCUGUUUGCUCUUCCUGCACGUACCGAGCUGGAGGCUCCCAGUCCCUGUGCCACUUCUCAGUUCCUGAGGGUUUCGCGCCUGCUGCCAGCUGUGCCCAGGGCUCCUGCUGUGUGCUGGAGCAAGUCCUUCGUCAGGCAUCGAGGGGAAGGACUUGGGAAGUUUCCAUAUCUGGGGCUGAGCCCCGAUGCCUGGUGUGCUGGAUUCACCAUACACCAGCAGCACGACGAUCAUCCACUUCAUUCCAAGCACCUGCCUGCCUGCCAAACAUCCUUGCUCUGCUCUGAUGACAGCCUCUGUGAUAGUUCCUGGGAAGCUGGUGCUCGCACGUGUGCCAGGGACUGGCUGGUGACUGCAAACAGAAUUCCCGUCUGGACCAACCCCCUGAAGAGCUGGGUCUGCUGCAGCUCCAGCUGCACAGUGGCUACAUCAAAGUCCAGGGAAGGAAGGCUGCCCUUGUGGUUGGUGGCUAAUGUUUAUGUUGGCACCGUUAUUCUGUUUGAAGACACAUGAAUUUUAGGAGAGUAAUUUCAAACUGAGUGCUUCCUGUAUGAGAUGGGACAUUGUCAGGAAGAUGUGACUUCAUAAGAGAUGCUGAUGCUCCCUCCCUUCAGCCACCCUCCAUGAAGAGGUCCUCUUGUGACCAAGAUAUCUUUUCUGUAGUGAUCCACACCUUACAACUUUUGCACCAGUACAUAGAACUGGGAAACUUUUUCUGAAGUUCUUGUACCUCAAACGUGUAGAAUAUUGCUGAUUUCUGCACAGAUUUGUUUAGGUCCAGCAAGACCACUGAACUGCAUGUUUGCUAACUUACCAACUGUCUUUAAUUCACCAUUUGAGGAAAUUUAUGAUAAGAAUAGUGGUAGAAAAUAGUAUAAUAAUAUAAGCAAGCAAAUACUUCCACUUUUUUAUUUUUAUUUUUAUAAUAACAGAAUAUCUCAAAGGAUUUUAUGGAGCAGUCAUCAUCAUCAUCUCUUCCACUUACCUGGUAGGGAGAAUGGAAGUGCAGUGAUUUAUUUAAGUUGCUGAGAGCAGGAUAAGGGCAUCCAAGUCUCCAGGGUUUCAGUCCUGUCCUGCAACGUGUUGCGCUUCUGGCUGUGUUGGCUUUUCUUUUGUGUGUUUCACUUUGUUUUCUCACUGGAUAGUUGUCUUAGGAGAAAAUCAGAUAACAGUUUUUUUACCACAGUGUUUCACAGUGCAUAUGAAAAACAAUAUGAACACGUUGUGAAGUGGGCUGGAGAAGUGGGCUGUGGCUGAGAAUAGGAAGAUGCAGAAUUGCUCUUGAAGAUUUCCUGUAGCAGUGUGUCACCAGGGAGCUGAUUAGCAGUGUCUGGGGACAGUCAGUGGUAUGAUACAUUUGCCACUUAAAUUUUAAUAGCCUAUGAGUCAAGAUAUCUUCUGAGUCUGAAAUUUCUUUCUGCCCUAUUUCUUUUCUUUGGGGUGGAAAAAAAAAAAAAAAAGUUCCUAAAAGAGCUCAGAAGUAAUCUUUCUCUUUAGUCUACUGACCAGUAAG